AUAUUGCACAAUGGGCGCAAGCCUGAUGCAGCCAUGCCGCGUGUGUGAAGAAGGCCUUCGGGUUGUAAAGCACUUUCAGCAGUGAGGAAAGGGUGUUGGUUAAUACCCAUCAUCUGUGACGUUAACUGCAGAAGAAGCACCGGCUAACUCCGUGCCAGCAGCCGCGGUAAUACGGAGGG
rnacentral:rRNA from 1 species